GGGGAGGCCGGCGGGGCCGGUUCGCCGCGGGCCGGGAGGCGAGGAGCCCGCGGCGCUCCCCAGGACGGUCGGAGCUGCCGAGGAGUUUGAUGCCCAAGUUAAACAGUGACCAGUAUGCUCAGCAGCAGAGGAAGGAAGGCGUCUACAGCAAAUUGGUUCUGUGGCUGUCAUGAGCAGAUUGUCCAGGCCCCAGACAUUGCCUUUUGUUCCACUCCAUUAUCUGAGAACAACUCUGACUUCAAAUCUGAAGGACUGGCCAGCACCAUGCGAACACCAGGAAGCUGUGCCGGGAUUUCACUGUGAUGGCAGCAGUCAGUGACUUGAAGAUGGUCUGUCAGCAAAAUCUCUAUCAGCCUCACAACUCAAAAAAAGACAUUGCAGAUUAAUUCCCUGGUGUCUGUCUGUGGUCUGUGGAGUAUUAGAGAACUCAGUUUCCCAUGUGCUUGGCCAGAGCAGUGAGAGGGGGGACUAGAGGGGACUAGUUUAACCCCCUGGUUGCUAACACUGCAAGAGUAUUUUUGCAACACAAGGCUUGGCAGUUCAUUUAUGUGCACCUGGAAUUUGAAAAAAGUAAAUUAAUGUCUGCAAAGUUUCAGUCUUACUGCUACAGAACAGCCCUGCC
rnacentral:lncRNA from 1 species